UGACAGGUAGAGUCUCUGUGCUUCAUGAGGUUCUGCCUCUCUAUUUUACCUUUGUGAGAGUCUGAUAUUUUCCCUGAAAGCCUCUUUGAGCAUGAGAACACUUAACCCAAUUCUCCAAUUCUCCUUUUUUUUUUUUUUUGGUCAAAUAUGAAAGAAGAGCAGAGCACUUUCACUCCAGUUCCAGGCAGGAAUAGAAAUCCUCACUGAGAAAACCUGACUCCACAGGAGGCAUGUCUCAGAACAAGGGAAAAAGCGUGUCGUGGCCAUGCAAGCCAACAGUAGCACAGCCUGCUACAGACCCCAUGGGCUGCUGAGAAUCUCUAUCAUUCACAUCUUAUGAACUGGUUUGGCGCAUCUCCAGAGGACAUUGGCAGCUGUUCAAGGCCUUGCAAGGUGCUGAACACGCUCAAGUUCCCAUUGUCUCCAACAUGUGUGUGUGCAGGAUUACCCGAUUCGCCUGCGUGAGCGCGACUGGGAUUUGCCUGGGCCCACGUGUGUCGGUGGUGAGGGGUCUGUAAGAUGGCUUUCCCACAGCUGCACCUCCAAGUGCAAAAGGCUCCGUGUGGACUCCAGUCGCCACUUGUCACUGCAGGGGAACGGCUGCAGCAGCUCCAAUUGCAGCCAGUUUCGUGGCCUGGCUGCAGGUAGGAAGGAUCGAGGUCGUCAGCUGGAGCAGAUGAGCAGGGCUCUGCUGGAGGCUCCAUCACACCUCCAGUCCCUUCCGGAGCAGAGCAGCAGCCACGUGCUCUGAGAUCUGGGAUCAGGAGGCCGUGGGCCAUCUCCAAACUGGUGCCAGGCAGCGCAGCAUCGCAUGCCUUGCAGGGUGAGUGUUCUGCAAUCACUUGAGCUUUGAGAGAUUAUUAUUUUUGGGGUGGCCUCAAACUCCCUGGGCUGUAAAAAGCUCCAUGUUUGAGAAUCAGCGACAUUAUCUCAGAUCCCAACCCAAACAAAGGGGGAUUUAGGCUCGCUAGUCUCCUGCUUCCAGCCCCCGCUGUGCUCCGUGCCAUUCUAUCCAGUUAGCUGCGAUCAGGUCCUGCGGCCCAGGAGACAUCAGUGGUGUUUCAUUGCUGUGCAUUGGCCAGCACAUCCUGCAGAAGCAGGGGGGGAUGCCAGGUUGGUCGUGAUAUCUGUGCUCUGAACACGCGGCUGGUUGCAGUGCGGAUCCGUGCAGC
rnacentral:lncRNA from 1 species